AACGAACGCUGGCGGCAGGCUUAACACAUGCAAGUCGAGCGCCCCGCAAGGGGAGCGGCAGACGGGUGAGUAACGCGUGGGAACGUGCCCUUUGGUUCGGAACAACUCCGGGAAACUGGAGCUAAUACCGGAUAAGCCCUUCGGGGGAAAGAUUUAUCGCCAAAGGAUCGGCCCGCGUCUGAUUAGCUAGUUGGUGAGGUAAUGGCUCACCAAGGCGACGAUCAGUAGCUGGUCUGAGAGGAUGAUCAGCCACACUGGGACUGAGACACGGCCCAGACUCCUACGGGAGGCAGCAGUGGGGAAUAUUGGACAAUGGGCGCAAGCCUGAUCCAGCCAUGCCGCGUGAGUGAUGAAGGCCUUAGGGUUGUAAAGCUCUUUUGUCCGGGAAGAUAAUGACUGUACCGGAAGAAUAAGCCCCGGCUAACUUCGUGCCAGCCGCCGCAGUAA
rnacentral:rRNA from 1 species